CUGGCGGCAGGCCUAACACAUGCAAGUCGAGCGCUCACUUCGGUGGGAGCGGCGGACGGGUUAGUAACGCGUGGGAAUAUGCCCGGUACUAAGGAAUAGCCUUUGGAAACGAAGAGUAAUACCUUAUACGCCCUUCGGGGGAAAGAUUUAUCGGUAUCGGAUUAGCCCGCGUAAGAUUAGAUAGUUGGUGGGGUAAUGGCCUACCAAGUCUACGAUCUUUAGCUGGUUUUAGAGGAUGAUCAGCAACACUGGGACUGAGACACGGCCCAGACUCCUACGGGAGGCAGCAGUGGGGAAUCUUAGACAAUGGGCGCAAGCCUGAUCUAGCCAUGCCGCGUGAGUGAAGAAGGCCUUAGGGUCGUAAAACUCUUUCGCCAGAGAUGAUAAUGACAGUAUCUGGUAAAGAAACCCCGGCUAACUCCGUGCCAGCAGCCGCGGUAAUACGGAGGGGGUUAGCGUUGUUCGGAAUUACUGGGCGUAAAGCGCACGUAGGCGGACUGGAAAGUUAGGGGUGAAAUCCCGGGGCUCAACCUCGGAACUGCCUCCAAAACUAUCAGUCUAGAGUUCGAGAGAGGUGAGUGGAAUUCCAAGUGUAGAGGUGAAAUUCGUAGAUAUUUGGAGGAACACCAGUGGCGAAGGCGGCUCACUGGCUCGAUACUGACGCUGAGGUGCGAAAGUGUGGGGAGCAAACAGGAUUAGAUACCCUGGUAGUCCACACCGUAAACGAUGAAUGCCAGUCGUCGGCAAGUAUACUUGUCGGUGACACACCUAACGGAUUAAGCAUUCCGCCUGGGGAGUACGGUCGCAAGAUUAAAACUCAAAGGAAUUGACGGGGGCCCGCACAAGCGGUGGAGCAUGUGGUUUAAUUCGAAGC
rnacentral:rRNA from 1 species